rnacentral:tRNA from 1 species
GGAAAUGUGCCUGAAUAAAAAGGGCUAUUUUGAUAGAAUAGAUCAUAGGAAAAAUAUUUUCUCAUUUCCC